rnacentral:rRNA from 1 species
UACAGAGGUCUCCAGCGUUGUUCGGAUUCAUUGGGCGUAAAGGGUGCGUAGGCGGCGCGGUAAGUCGGGUGUGAAAUCUCGGGGCUUAACUCCGAAACUGCAUUCGAUACUGCCGUGCUUGAGGACUGGAGAGGAGACUGGAAUUUACGGUGUAGCGGUGAAAUGCGUAGAUAUCGUAAGGAAGACCAGUGGCGAAGGCGGGUCUCUGGACAGUUCCUGACGCUGAGGCACGAAGGUCAGGGGAGCAAACGGG